rnacentral:rRNA from 1 species
CAGGCCUAACACAUGCAAGUCGAACGUGAAGCCGGACUUCGGUCCGGGGGAAAGUGGCGCACGGGUGAGUAACGCGUGGGAAUCUACCCAGCAGUACGGAAUAACUCCGGGAAACCGGUGCUAAUACCGCAUACGCCCCGAGGGGGAAAGAUUUAUCGCUGUUGAGAUGAGCCCGCGUCGGAUUAGCUUGUUGGUGGGGUAAUGGCCCACCAAGGCUCCGAUCCGUAGCUGGUCUGAGAGGAUGAUCAGCCACACUGGGACUGAGACACGGCCCAGACUCCUACGGGAGGCAGCAGUGGGGAAUAUUGGACAAUGGGCGAAAGCCUGAUCCAGCCAUGCCGCGUGAGUGAAGAAGGCCCUAGGGUUGUAAAGCUCUUUCAGCGGGGAAGAUAAUGACGGUACCCGCAGAAGAAGCCCCGGCCAACUCCGUGCCAGCAGCCGCGGUAAGACGGAGGGGGCUAGCGUUGCUCGGAAUUACUGGGCGUAAAGCGCGCGUAGGCGGUACGGCAAGUUGGGCGUGAAAGCCCAGGGCUCAACCCUGGAAUUGCGCUCAAAACUGCCGCACUGGAGUCCGGGAGAGGAGAGUGGAAUUCCCAGUGUAGAGGUGAAAUUCGUA